rnacentral:lncRNA from 1 species
UCUCUCCACCUUCGAGGAUGACCCCAUGCAAGCCCGAAAAUGGGUAGACACAAGUGAGCGAGAGCAUGAUUUCUGAAUGACAAGGAGGACGUUUAUUGGGAGUUGACAGGUGCAGGAGGAAGGGCUGGGCUGGACCAGGGUCGCGGGGGAGACCCUCGCGGGGUCCUGUGGCUCCAGGCCCCUGAGGGUGGGGGCCCAGGACCUAGGCGCACUCGGAGGGCGUCACUGUCUUCUCCACAAUGGUCCCCUCGUGGGUGACCUGGCAGGUGAAGCCGCUGGAAGAUUUCCAGUCACUGCGGACAGGGCCAGGUAGCUGCUGGCCGCGUACUUGUUGUUGCUCUGUUUCGAGGGCUUGGUGGUCUCCACGCCCUGGGUGACGGUGGUGCCGCCUGCCUUCCAGGUCACCGUCACGGCGCCCGGGUAGAAGUCACUUAUUAGACACACCAGGGUGGCCUUGUUGGUGCCGAGCUCCUCAGAGGAGGGCGGGAAGAGGUUGACCGUGGGAGCGGCCUUGGGCUGACCUGGGGGUCGGGGAGAGACGGGAGGUCGUUGGCUCAGUGUCCAUCAG